rnacentral:lncRNA from 1 species
UCAGGGCCAAGUGAUUAUUCCACUUUGGCAUUGCUGCCUUUCUGCCAAGUGCAAUUCCGUUCAGACAGAGAUUAAUUAGCCAGGCAGAGACGGAAGUGGGUUGCGAGAGCACCGCCGAGAGAGGCGGCCGCGCCCACCUGCGGCAGAGCGCGCCGGGGGCCCGAGGGGCUCGCCGCCGGCCCGCGCGCUGUCCCGCAGACCCGGUCACCUGUGCGAGCGCGGGGACAGACGGCCUCCGAAGCUCCGCGGCGACACACCUCGCCCUCCAUAGACGCUGUUACUCUCAGCGCCUCGGAGAGGACCUUCCAACUUAGAUUCCUUUCCAUUCUGAGAAGCCAAGGUAUUUUCGCCCGGUGGAGGAAUGACGUAGUUCCAUCCUAAUCUUGUCUUAUACUUGCAGAUCGCAUAUUCCUUGAAGAAAAGGAUCUUUAAAAAUUUCUUCUGUACUCUUACUGCAAGGAACAUUAUAAAUAUAUUGUAGAUGCUCAAGAAAUUGAAACUGAAUGUUAUUCUGUGCCCUCUGUGCCAUAGACGUACAAAAUGGGCAAGAUCCAGCCCUUGCUCUCAAAGUGCUUACAUUCUGUUAGGAGGAUGUCAAGUCCAUAAAAAUAUGUGAUCGGAGAUGGAGUAUGAUAUGAGCCAUGAGAAAGAUGAAAUCAAACUGCUUGGUGACUAAGCAGGAUGGAAUAUAGAGCAAUAAAGAAAAGCUUCAUGA